rnacentral:rRNA from 1 species
UGGGGAAUAUUGGACAAUGGGGGCAACCCUGAUCCAGCAAUGCCGCGUGUGUGAAGAAGGCCUGCGGGUUGUAAAGCACUUUUGGCAGGGAUGAAAAGCACUGGAUUAAUAACCCAGUGUGUUGACCUAACCUGCAGAAGAAGCACCGGCUAACUCUGUGCCAGCAGCCGCGGUAAUACAGGGGGUGCGAGCGUUAAUCGGAAUUACUGGGCGUAAAGGGCGCGUAGGCGGUCGAGUAAGUCGGAUGUGAAAUCCCCGGGCUUAACCUGGGAAUUGCAUUCGAUACUGCUUGGCUAGAGUGUGGAAGAGGGAAGCGGAAUUUCCGGUGUAGCGGUGAAAUGCGUAGAUAUCGGAAGGACACCAGUGGCGAAGGCGGCUUCCUGGUCCAACACUGACGCUGAGGCGCGAAAGCGUGGGGAGCAAACAGGAUUAGAUACCCUCGUAGUCCCUGAGCGGGCUGGCAAGGCGCAU